rnacentral:rRNA from 1 species
CCUACGGGAGGCAGCAGUGGGGAAUCUUGGUCAAUGGACGAAAGUCUGACCCAGCAAAGUAGCGUGAAUGAUGACUGACCUAGGUGUUUUAAACUUCUUUUAUAUUGGAGUAAAAUGUUCCACGUGUCUAAUUUUGUAUGUACCAUAUUACACAGGAUCGGCUAACUCCAUUCCAGCAGCCUCGGUAAUACGGAGGGUCCGAGCGUUAGACGGAUUUAUGUGGUUUAAAGUGAGCGUAGGGGGAUGCUUAAGUCAGUUGUGAAAGUUUGCGGCUCAACCGUAAAAGUGCAUGUGAAACUGGCAGCAUUGAGUGCAGGAGAGGUGGGCGGAAUUCGUGGUGUAGCGGUGAAAUGCGUAGAUAUCACGAAGAACACCGAUGGCGAAGGCAGUUAACUGGACUGUAACUGACGCUGAGGCUCGAAAGCGUGGGUAGCAAACAGGAUUAGAUACCCGAGUAGUC